GUCUUUUUGAUUAUAAUUUAAAGUCUGACCUGCCCAAUGAGGAUUUGAAUGGCCGCGGUAAUUUGACCGUGCAAAGGUAGCAUAAUCAUUAGUUUUUUAAUUGAAAGCUGGAAUGAACGGUUGGACGAGAAAAUAACUGUCUCAAUUUAAUUGAAUAUAGAAUUUUAUUUAUAAGUAAAAAAGCUUAUAUGCUUUUAAAAGACGAGAAGACCCUAUAGAAUUUUAUAUUUUAUUAUACUAAUUAGAUUUAGUAUAUGUAUAUUUUUAGUAUAAUAAAGUAUUUUGCUGGGGCAGCAGAAAAAUUAAAUAAACUUUUUUUAUUAUUAUUACAUUGAUUUAUGAUUUAAUGAUCCAUUUUUUAUGAUUACAAGAUUAAAUUACCUUAGGGAUAACAGCGUAAUUUUUUUUUAGAGUUCUUAUCGAAAAAAGAGUUUGCGACCUCGAU
rnacentral:rRNA from 1 species